CCGCCUCCGCAAUGAGGGCCGCAACAUCGAGCACCAUAUCUGAGAAGGAGGAGAAGAAGGUUGAGAAGACCAUCCGGGACGCCGCCAAGGCGCUGGCCAAGGAGCUUGUGCAGUCCAGGAAGGCGGUCAACCACCUCUACAAGAACAAGGCCCAGCUCAACUCCAUCUCCAUGCACCUCGGCAAGAUCGUCGGAUGCUGCGAUCGAUGACCUAAACAACAAGACCCACAUGAAGAACCUGCUGAAGUGGAUGUGGGGCAGGAGGAUCAUCAAGCUCUCGAGUGUGCAGCGAGGAGCUGCUCUUCGCCUUGCCUCGCACAAGCGAUGUCAUCGGGUUGUAAGCAAAUAUUCUUGUCUGCUCUUUCACUAGUUUCGACUGUUGCUUUCGUUGCUAAUAAUACAUGCAUGCUCCACAACUAAUACAGAAGAUGCAUUUCCAUCCCAUCUAGUAGGUGCUGACUCGAUGCAAACAAGUAAAAAUAAAAUUAGUAGGUGUUAUAUGCUGAAUGAUGCUAGCUAUUGUACCAAUAUGGAUCAUUGGCAGCAACUUAACACUACAUUAGCUUAGGCUAGCUGGGUAAUGAACUUUGGACAAUGUUGCUUACCAGUUACAUUUGGUUUGGUCCUCAACGCUGAUUUGGUGCAUUUUGGAUGUAGCUUACUUCCUAUUUGUCCUUGUCUGUUUGGUUCCCUCUCACUACCUAUUCACGCAGCUACUUUCAGAGUUAUUAGGCAAAUAUGAUUACUGCUGGCUGUGGAGGGCCUUCUUUCUAUAGCAAUCAGUCAGUAGGUGGGGCUUUUUCUGCUGCUUGUUUUUGCUUCAGUUGGGUACAUGAAUCUCUUGUUAUAAGGAUUUCAGAGCCAGGACUUGUUCUGAAUCUCUGGUUGUUCCAUGAUGCUAGUCUGCACUUACAGUAUAUACUCCUAAGGUGAUGCAUGCAUGAUCAGUACCAGUGUGAGAUGCCGAUUCAUGUAUCCGUGUUUGGUGCGACACUCAUGCACCUUGUCGUGUGUAAUUAUUCGGUGUACGAG